rnacentral:rRNA from 1 species
GCACCCCGCCGGCCCUGAAAUGGAGUGGCGGCCCGUCCGCGGCGACCUCUGCGCAGUACAAGCACUCGCACCGGGAACCCGACGCGGCCCGCCGUGAAACCCCCAACCUCUGAACGUUGACCUCGGAUCAGGUAGGACU